UUGCUAAGUGGGAAACGAUGUGGGAAGGCUCAGACAGCUAGGAUGUUGGCUUAGAAGCAGCCAUCAUUUAAAGAAAGCGUAAUAGCUCACUAGUCGAGUCGGCCUGCGCGGAAGAUGUAACGGGGCUAAGCAAUACACCGAAGCUGCGGCAAUGUCUUUUAGACAUUGGGUAGGGGAGCGUUCUGUAAGCCGUUGAAGGUGAAUCGUAAGGUUUGCUGGAGGUAUCAGAAGUGCGAAUGCUGACAUGAGUAACGACAAAGGGGGUGAAAAACCUCCUCGCCGGAAGACCAAGGGUUCCUGUCCAACGUUAAUCGGGGCAGGGUGAGUCGACCCCUAAGGUGAGGCCGAAAGGCGUAAUCGAUGGGAAACGGGUUAAUAUUCCCGUACUUCUGACUAUUGCGAUGGGGGGACGGAGAAGGCUAGGUGGGCCAGGCGACGGUUGUCCUGGUUCAAGUGCGUAGGCUUGAGAGUUAGGUAAAUCCGGCUCUCUCUAAGGCUGAGACACGACGUCGAGCUACUACGGUAGUGAAGUCAUUGAUGCCAUGCUUCCAGGAAAAGCCUCUAAGCUUCAGAUAGUCAGGAAUCGUACCCCAAACCGACACAGGUGGUCGGGUAGAGAAUACCAAGGCGCUUGAGAGAACUCGGGUGAAGGAACUAGGCAAAAUGGUACCGUAACUUCGGGAGAAGGUACGCUCUUGAUGGUGAAGUCCCUCGCGGAUGGAGCUGACGAGAGUCGCAGAUACCAGGUGGCUGCAACUGUUUAUUAAAAACACAGCACUGUGCAAAAUCGCAAGAUGACGUAUACGGUGUGACGCCUGCCCGGUGCCGGAAGGUUAAUUGAUGGGGUUAGCGCAAGCGAAGCUCUUGAUCGAAGCCCCGGUAAACGGCGGCCGUAACUAUAACGGUCCUAAGGUAGCGAAAUUCCUUGUCGGGUAAGUUCCGACCUGCACGAAUGGCGUAAUGAUGGCCACGCUGUCUCCACCCGAGACUCAGUGAAAUUGAAAUCGCUGUGAAGAUGCAGUGUACCCGCGGCUAGACGGAAAGACCCCGUGAACCUUUACUACAGCUUGGCACUGAACAUUGAACCUACAUGUGUAGGAUAGGUGGGAGGCUAUGAAGACGUGACGCCAGUUGCGUUGGAGCCGUCCUUGAAAUACCACCCUUGUAUGUUUGAUGUUCUAACUUAGACCCGUUAUCCGGGUUGAGGACAGUGCCUGGUGGGUAGUUUGACUGGGGCGGUCUCCUCCCAAAGAGUAACGGAGGAGCACGAAGGUGGGCUAAUCACGGUUGGACAUCGUGAGGUUAGUGCAAUGGCAUAAGCCCGCUUAACUGCGAGAAUGACGGUUCGAGCAGGUGCGAAAGCAGGUCAUAGUGAUCCGGUGGUUCUGUAUGGAAGGGCCAUCGCUCAACGGAUAAAAGGUACUCCGGGGAUAACAGGCUGAUACCGCCCAAGAGUUCAUAUCGACGGCGGUGUUUGGCACCUCGAUGUCGGCUCAUCACAUCCUGGGGCUGAAGUCGGUCCCAAGGGUAUGGCUGUUCGCCAUUUAAAGUGGUACGCGAGCUGGGUUUAGAACGUCGUGAGACAGUUCGGUCCCUAUCUGCCGUGGGCGUUGGAAGAUUGAAGGGGGCUGCUCCUAGUACGAGAGGACCGGAGUGGACGAACCUCUGGUGUUCGGGUUGUGUCGCCAGACGCAUUGCCCGGUAGCUAAGUUCGGAAUUGAUAAGCGCUGAAAGCAUCUAAGCGCGAAGCGAGCCCUGAGAUGAGUCUUCCCUGACAGUUUAACUGUCCUAAAGGGUUGUUCGAGACUAGAACGUUGAUAGGCAGGGUGUGUAAGCGUUGUGAGGCGUUGAGCUAACCUGUACUAAUUGCCCGUGAGGCUUAACCAU
rnacentral:rRNA from 1 species